UAAGACGAACCGUACGAACGUUAUUCGGAAUCACUGGGCUUAAAGGGUGCGUAGGCGGCGCAGAAAGUUGGGUGUGAAAGCCCUCGGCUCAACCGAGGAAUUGCGCUCAAAACUACUGUGCUUGAGGGAGAUAGAGGUGAGUGGAACUAAGGGUGGAGCGGUGAAAUGCGUUGAUAUCCUUAGGAACACCGGUGGCGAAAGCGACUCACUGGAUCUCUUCUGACGCUGAGGCACGAAAGCUAGGGUAGCGAACGGG
rnacentral:rRNA from 1 species